GAUGAACGCUGGCGGCGUGCCUAAUACAUGCAAGUCGAGCGAACAGAUAAGGAGCUGCUCCUUUGACGUUAGCGGCGGACGGGUGAGUUACACGUGGAUAACCUACCUAUAAGACUGGGAUAACUUCGGGAAACCGGAGCUAAUGCCGGAUAACAUAUUGAACCGCCUGGUUCAAUAGUGAAAGGCGGCUUUGCUGUCACUUAUAGAUGGAUCCGCGCCGUAUUAGCUAGUUGGUAAGGUAACGGCUUACCAAGGCAACGAUACGUAGCCGACCUGAGAGGGUGAUCGGCCACACUGGAACUGAGACACGGUCCAGACUCCUACGGGAGGCAGCAGUAGGGAAUCUUCCGCAAUGGGCGAAAGCCUGACGGAGCAACGCCGCGUGAGUGAUGAAGGUCUUCGGAUCGUAAAACUCUGUUAUCAGGGAAGAACAAAUGUGUAAGUAACUGUGCACAUCUUGACGGUACCUGAUCAGAAAGCCACGGCUAACUACGUG
rnacentral:rRNA from 1 species